GCUGGCAGCACAUUUCAGUGACGAGGAAUGGGUCGUAAAACUCGCUUACUUGUGCGACAUAUUCAACCUGCUCAAUGAACUCAAUCGGUCACUUCUGGGGAAAAUGACAACUGUCUUCAAGUUGGCAGAUAAAGUAGCUGCAUUUAAAGCCAAACUGGAUUUGUGGGGACAGCGCGUGAACAGAGGUAUAUUUGACAUGUUUCAAACAUUCGCAGGGAUUUUGGAAGAGACUGAGCCCGAGCCUUCAUUGUCCCAGCUGGUGCACGUACACCUGUCUUUGCUUUUAAAAGAGUUUGAGCACUACUUCCCAACCACAAAAGACCCACAAACUGCCAAGGAAUGGAUCCGCGACCCAUUUGUCAAAAAAACAGGUGAAUCCAGCAUGUCUAUGCAAGAAGAAGAUCAACUGCUGGAGAUCGCAAAUGACGGCGGCCUUAAAAGUAUGUUCGAGACAACAACUCUGCCGGUGUUCUGGAUUAAAGUCACGGCAGAAUACCCUGAAAUCGCCACAACAGCAUUGAAAACCCUGUUGCCAUUUCCGACAUCCUAUUUGUGUGAAGCGGGAUUUUCUGCAGUGACAGCAACCAAAACAAAAUUACGGAGUAGACCGGACAUAAGACAUAAGCAACACACUUCGGGUGUCAUUGUCUCCCAUUACCCCUAGAUGGGACCGUCUCGUUGCAGAGAAACAAGCUCAGGGCUCCCACUGAUUUAGCGUUAUGCGUAGCUCUCGUAGACGCUGCUGUCUGGUUCUGAUCCGCUGUCGAUGAGGAGGGUGCACUGGGCCGCAGGAUUCACCAGCUCUCUGACCUCGUACCUGGUGGAGCUGCUGGCAGUGGACACAGUGGACCUGGAUAUGACAGACAGAACAAAGCGUCUAACCUCCUCCAUUCUUUUUACAUCUUUUUUUAAUUAGAAAACACAGCAUCACAUCCCGACUCCCCAACCACCCACCGACAUCCUCCCAUCUCACUCUUUUAUUUUGUUUCCUUCCCAUUUUUAAAUUAAGACAUAUCAACAUCAUCCAAUCAACACCCUCCAUCCCAUCACCCACCCACUCAUCGUAUGUCACUCUUUCUUAAUCCUCAGGGAGAAAAUAGCUACAUACAAAGACGUACACAACAGUACAGUGCACAAGAGCAUAGCACUGUCAAUGCCAUAUGGCGUAUUGCAUUUUGAGUAUAUUUGGAUGUGACACCUGUACUUGCGCUGUUGCUUUGCCCCCUAAUUGCAAAUUUAGACUGACAGGAGCGUCUGCUUUACUCUUCUGUUGCUACAUUACAUCAUACGUCACAGGGUCCUGUAGUUUUGCUGUUGUGGGUGCUGGGUGUGGUCUGUCAGUAGGGCAGGGUUUAGGCCUCUGAGGGGAUUGGACGUAUAGUCAUUUGUCUGUAACCACUGGACUGGAUUGGGUGCUGACUAGCCUGGACACACAGAGCCUGGACACGCUGACUAGCCUGGACACACUAAGAUGAUGACUCACCCAUCUCCUUUACUCUUCUUCCCAUCUGAAACACUGCUUUUACUCUCUGGA